rnacentral:rRNA from 1 species
GAUCAUGGCUCAGGAUGAACGCUGGCGGCGUGCUUAACACAUGCAAGUCGAACGGGGAUUAUUUCAUUGAAGCUUCGGCAGAUUUGGCUUAAUCCUAGUGGCGGACCGGGUGAGUAACGCGUGGGUAACCUGCCUUGUACAGGGGGAUAACAGUCAGAAAUGACUGCUAAUACCGCAUAAGCGCACAGGACCGCAUGGUCCGGUGUGAAAACUCCGGUGGUAUAAGAUGGACCCGCGUUGGUA